AGCACCGUAGCACAGCUGGAAGUGCGCCGGUCUCAUAUCUCGUCCCAACGAUUUAGAGAAAUCCGGAGGUCGCUUGAUCGAAACAAGCCGUUGCUA